rnacentral:lncRNA from 1 species
UGAUUGUAAACGCCCUUCCCUCCGAUAUAAUGAAUUAUAUGUAAAAAGGGUAAACAGAUAAUUCUGAUCAAUAAUCGCAACUACUUUUUACAGUAUAACGAUAAAAAAUUUGAUAAAAAUUUGCUGGAAAUUGCUCCCAGGAGCUUAAUUUUUGAAUCAUAUUAUCCAACUUCACGUAUAUUUCUUCAGUCUGCGGAUUGUGACUCUCUGCACUAAAAUGAUGAACUUGGCCACCAAUAUGCAUAGAACUAAUUCAGGGAAACUUUUCUGAUGCCCUGAGUUCUAUUAGGAUAACACGCAAUUGUAUUAUUUAUUCGACUGAAACGGAAGACAGAAUUGAACAAUUCUCAGGCUAUUCGAGAUGCUUGAUCUCUCCCAUUCGUAACCGAAUACCAGUCCAAAAGCAUGCCUUUACAUAAUCCCCCUUCGUCCUAUUUAUAGACCUCCUUUCUAUAACACUAUUACCCACUUGCCUCUCCUACUAACUGAAUGGUGACCCUUCUGGAAUUUGAGGUGUGCUGCCUUUUUCUUCUUCUUGUAUGGGUGAUCUUAAUUGGGGGUCUCCAAGCAUGCCUGAUUGAGCAUACACGUUCGAAAGCAAGACAUGGUACACCGUGUUCUGUGAAUACAUUGGAACCAGCUUUUGCUCAAGACUUUCCCCCGACUCUAGCUUCCUAUGAACACUCGAGACCCCAAGAGAAAGAGACUAACACAACCCGUAUUUCUGCAUCUGCUUCUUCUAAAUGUCCUGCUCAACCCAGGAAAUCCACCACACAAGCGUAAUGCUCCGUUGAAG